rnacentral:ncRNA from 1 species
CACCCCAUGGUGAAAAUUAGGCCGUAAAGAGCAAGGUUUAGUAGGUUUACUCUCGAACCACCUUGAGGCUAAUAAGAAG